UGCAAGUCGAACGAACGGAGGAAGAGCUUGCUCUUCCAAAGUUAGUGGCGGACGGGUGAGUAACACGUGGGCAACCUGCCUGUAAGUUGGGGAUAACUCCGGGAAACCGGGGCUAAUACCGAAUGAUAGAGUGUGGCGCAUGCCACGCUUUUGAAAGAUGGUUUCGGCUAUCGCUUACAGAUGGGCCCGCGGUGCAUUAGCUAGUUGGUAGGGUAAUGGCCUACCAAGGCAACGAUGCAUAGCCGACCUGAGAGGGUGAUCGGCCACACUGGGACUGAGACACGGCCCAGACUCCUACGGGAGGCAGCAGUAGGGAAUCUUCCGCAAUGGACGAAAGUCUGACGGAGCAACGCCGCGUGUAUGAAGAAGGUUUUCGGAUCGUAAAGUACUGUUGUUAGAGAAGAACAAGGAUAAGAGUAACUGCUUGUCCCUUGACGGUAUCUAACCAGAAAGCCACGG
rnacentral:rRNA from 1 species